rnacentral:ncRNA from 2 species
AACUAAGAUAGAGGCGCGAAAUUUAAGAGUAAUAUUAUUUUAUUACAAGCAAACCGAUGUAAUACGAAAGGAAAUUUCGCCGAAGUAAAUAGUAAAUUGCUUUAAUACUAUUUGCUGGGCUUAUGUAGAAUAUGCAUAAGACUGUCACAAAUUAUUUUGUGGAGAGCUAUUUUCAAU